UAACGAUACGGGACUCAUCCGAGGCCCCGUAAUCGGAAUGAGUACACUUUAAAUCCUUUAACGAGGAUCAAUUGGAGGGCAAGUCUGGUGCCAGCAGCCGCGGUAAUUCCAGCUCCAAUAGCGUAUAUUAAAGUUGUUGCGGUUAAAAAGCUCGUAGUUGAAUCUGUGUGCCACGCUGUCGGUUCAUCGCUCGCGAUGUCUAACUGACAUGAUUGUGGGACGUCCUACCGGUGGACUUAGCUCCUCACGGGGCGGUCCAGCUUAAACCUAUCGCGGUGCUCUUAAGUGAGUGUCGAGGUGGGCCGGUACGUUUACUUUGAACAAAUUAGAGUGCUCAAAGCAGGCUAUGUUCGCCUGAAUACUGUGUGCAUGGAAUAAUGGAAUAGGACCUUGGUUCUAUUUUGUUGGUUUUCGGAAACCUAGGUAAUGAUUAAUAGGGACAGAUGGGGGCAUUCGUAUUGCGACGUUAGAGGUGAAAUUCUUGGAUCGUCGCAAGACGGACAGAAGCGAAAGCAUUUGCCAAAAAUGUUUUCAUUAAUCAAGAACGAAAGUUAGAGGUUCGAAGGCGAUCAGAUACCGCCCUAGUUCUAACCAUAAACGAUGCCAGCUAGCGAUCCGCCGAAGUUCCUCCGAUGACUCGGCGGGCAGCUUCCGGGAAACCAAAGCUUUUGGGUUCCGGGGGAAGUAUGGUUGCAAAGCUGAAACUUAAAGGAAUUGACGGAAGGGCACCACCAGGAGUGGAGCCUGCGGCUUAAUUUGACUCAACAC
rnacentral:rRNA from 1 species